GUGGUUACUUUGGCAGCACAUAGACAAAAAUUGGAAUGAUACAGGGAAGAUUAGCAUGGCCCCUAUGUAAGGAUGAUGUAAAUUCAUGAAAUAUUCCAUAUUUUA
ensembl:snRNA U6 U6 spliceosomal RNA